rnacentral:lncRNA from 1 species
UUGUCAAAGGAAACGCACAGAAUAAAGACAGACAUUCAUACCCACAGAUGUGGCCGUGAGGUCUUCAGAAGUUAGGGUCGUCAGUGGAAUUUGGUGUGAAGAUGCCAAGGCUGUUGCUGUUUAUUCUGGCAGAAGAGGCCUUUCCCAGAAGUGCUUUUUGCCUUUCAUCCAACAGGACGAUGUUCAGAUGGAAGUUCUCCAAGAGUGACCACAAACAGGUUUUUCUGGGUUUGUGCAAGGAAAGUCCCUGCAUCCCAGGAAAGUCCUAAAUCCUUGACCAGCUGGGCCUUCUGGUCACUUGCCCCAUGUCCAAUUAUUGAGGGCUCAAAGUCAGCGUUUGAUCUGUACAGAAGCCACAUCAGGAUCCAUCCUUCAGUCCCAGCAAAGAGCUCUACAUGUUUAAGUAAGCACAGGACAAGCAGAGUGUCGUCAUUUAUGCUGCCUCCUUCAUUGCCUGACCAGGAGUUGGGUCUUGUCAGGAGACACAGAGCUGCCUGAUCUACCAUAGUGCAGAUCUGAGCUCUGAGUGGUUGGAGGCCCAGGUGGUAAUGGAUAGAUGCAGAGGAGGUGGUGCAGGAGGAGACAUAACAUCCUAACUGCUGAACUUGUGUGCAGUGGUGAGCUGGCAAAUGCUCAUUAGUUGACUCCCUGGGGCAGGUAGUAGAGUGAAGCCCUGGAUUGAAGCCCUGCAUCUGCCAAUUUCUUUGGUGUAAACACUUCCAUGGAUGAUUUUCAGCCUGCAAUGUGAUUCUACUGAGUGCUGCAUCAGAUGGAGGCUACAACUGAUUCCCAAAUCAAGGCAAGCUGAAUGCUUGUACCCAGUGUGUAA